GACCGGGAUGCGGUGCAGUGCAGGGUUAAAGUGAAGGAGCUGCGGAGUGCCUAUUGCAAAACCCGCAAGGGAAACCGCCACUCCGGCGCUGCCCCCAUGACCUGCCGUUUUUACAAGGAGCUGGACGCGAUACUUGGGGGUGACCCCACUGCCAAUCCGAUGACCACAAUGGACACUUCAGAGCGGGGAGAGAAACCGAGAGUGAGGGUACUGGGGUGGGGGGAGACACCCCGGAGUCCCAGGAGGCAUGCAGCCAGGAGCUCUUCUCAAGCCAGGAGGAAGGUAGCCAGUCGCAGCAGCCGAUACUUGGUGAAGGACAAGCAAAGGAGCGGGUUACUUGUCCUUGACUACUCGACUGCCUGUAUCAUCGACUGCUUAGAGGCUACAAAACCUCAGGAAGAAGCCGCGAAAAAGCAAAGAAGACAUGCUGAAAGCAGUUAUGGAUCACUCUGCCAGAGAGAGUAAAAAACUGCAGGACU